AUUGAACGCUGGCGGCAUGCCUUACACAUGCAAGUCGAACGGUAACGGGCCUUCGGGUGCCGACAAGUGGCGAACGGGUGAGUAAUGUAUCGGAACGUACCUUUCAGUGGGGGAUAACGUAGCGAAAGUUACGCUAAUACCGCAUAUUCUGUGAGCAGGAAAGCAGGGGAUCGCAAGACCUUGCGCUGAUUGAGCGGCCGAUAUCAGAUUAGCUAGUUGGUGAGGUAAAGGCUCACCAAGGCGACGAUCUGUAGCGGGUCUGAGAGGAUGAUCCGCCACACUGGAACGGAGACACGGUCCAGACUCCUACGGGAGGCAGCAGUGGGGAAUUUUGGACAAUGGGGGCAACCCUGAUCCAGCCGUGCCGCGUGAGUGAAGAAGGCCUUCGGGUUGUAAAGCUCUUUCGGCCGGGAAGAAAUCGUAUGGGUUAAUACCCUGUGCGGAUGACGGUACCGGCAUAAGAAGCACCGGCUAACUACGUGCCAGCCGCCGCCGUAAUAC
rnacentral:rRNA from 1 species